CGCCCCUGUGGGAGGGGGUGUGGACUUCCCUGCAUGCUUUUCUUUUUUUCGCCCCUUUUCCUUUUCUUCUUCUAAUGAACUGUUUGUUUUAGCUCUUGUUUUCCCCUUCCAAAUUAUAAGUGACAUAUAUUAUUGCAGAAGAUUUGGAACAUACAGAAAAGUAUAAAGUUUCCUAUCGGACUUAAAAGACAAAUACUGAAAAUGGAAUACAAUACACAGGAUACACAGCAGUGCAUAUUCAAGAAUAGUGGAAUAACCUGGGGUCAUCUCCUGUUGUCCAGGCAAGCCCUACUGUCCCCACCUGUCCCAUCUGGAGAAGGGAGCUAACAGACAGCCGAAUAUACUGGUACUGCAACUCAAGAUUGUGGGAACAGGAGUUCUGACUCAGCACAAACCUGGUUGUAUAACCUUGACAAUGUUACUCACAAUUCCCUGCUUCAGUUGCUUUGGUUAUAAAAUUAAGCUAAUGGUAUGGACCUAUUUACCAGAAAUAUCAUGAGAUUUAAUAAUUGUAAAGUGCUCUGUAAAUAAAAAUUGUUGUGCAAUUGUUAAA